AAGACUACUUAACAAGAAAAAUGAGCUAGACUGCUUUUGGGAAAUUACAGAAAUUUCAUUGAUCUCAAAGUUCAAGAUCUCAAAAACAAAAACUUUUUUAUUUAAUAGCAAUGAUAUGUCAGCUGCCAAUCAUUGGCCACCACAUUACUCAAAAGGCAAUGAUGAGAUGUAUGGCUGCCAUAAAAACAAUACAGCUCUUUAACAACUACCUGAAGACUGCCCAGUAAAAGAAGUGGAUGGAUCACAAAGGCAUAAGACAUUUUACCCCUUCCUUUAGGAGGAUUGUUCUAAUAUCCCUGGACUUCCCUAAAAUCCAUGCCAAAGCAGUGCCAACUACAUAAUUCUACUAUACCUGGAACCUUCCAUUUUCCAUGCAAUCUUAUUACUUGUGAUUACUCUGACUAUGACAUCAAAGAUGAAGAACUACAUGUAUCUAACUAAGACCUCACUUUGGCAUUAGUGGACAUCAGUAAACUACAGAUCGGACUCAAGAAGAGAAACAAGAGCCUAAUUUAGCCUGAAGUGCCAAGUCUGGAAGGAGCCUCUACUGAAUCAGUAAAAACCUUUCCCCUUCUAGCCACAGGCAAGAGAUUAUAUCUCAUGUAAUGCCCCACUAGACUAAGCAGCUAAUGAAUCAUUUCCCCUGAUGCCAUCUCUUCCCUUUUCCUGUUGUAAAUGCCCCUUGGGUGUCUGAAGUUAAGCCUUGUUCUUUUCUUUAGAGUUAAAAAUAAACCUAUCAUUAGAGCCUUUUACUUUGUCUUCCUAACCCAUCUGUGUGUUUUGUGAAAACUUUAAAGCACCCCUAAAUUAGAUGAAACAGAAUGCAAUGAUACUUCCACCU